UGGUUCUGGCAUCGAUGAAGAACGCAGCGAAAUGCGAUAAGUAAUGUGAAUUGCAGAAUUCAACGAAUCAUCGAAUCUUUGAACGCACAUUGCGCCCAUUGGUAUUCCGAUGGGCAUGCCUGUUCGAGCGUCAUUUCAACCCUCAAGCCCUAGCUGCUUGGUGUUGGAGCCCCUAUAGCAUAUAGCUAUAGGGCUCUGAAAGACAUUGGCAGGAUUUUCAUAAACCCGAGCGUAGUAAAUUUUAUCUCGUUUAGGGCGUUAUGAGAGUUUUCAAGCCGUAAAACCCCCUGUAUUUUUACAAGGUUGACCUCGGAUCAGGUAGGAAUACCCGCUGA
rnacentral:misc_RNA from 1 species